AUAUCAAUCACGUUAUGUCAUAAAAUAACAUAAAAUCUGUGAAGAAAAUACGAUCGUUCAGAAACGUCCAGCAUAUUAUAUACUUAUGUGCCUGCUGAAAUAAUGUCGACGACAACGACACUCGCACGAUUCUUUCGUAUGAUGUGCGAUUAUACUCUUUAACGAGACGUUGUCUGCCGAAAAUUUCGCGGUACCGCGGUACACGAUUAUCGGAUUCACUCGCGAAAGAAAGAAAUGGCGAGCGACGUGGCCGACACGAUCGGCGAUUAAUUAAACGAAGGAUACGGUAUACCAGAAUUAAUUAGUUACCACUAAGUCAAAGGCGGCAUUUGUUCGAGCAUGCAGCAACCUUCGCCCGUUCAAAAAAUUAUUUGUCAUGUCUCUCGCCAACUAACACACCGUGCCACGAUCCAUUAACAUUAAUCAAUGACAAUUAAUAAACAGUUCCAAAAAUAAUAAUAAUAAUCAUAGUAAGAAGAGUAAUAAGUAUUACAGACUGUGCCGCCAUGGCAGCCCGUACGUGAAGUAGUGACAGAGAACUAACAAAAAGAAAAGGGAAAGGAAAAAAAUAUCGAAAAGAAAUUGCAUCGAAAGAGAAAAAGAAAACAAAACAAGUGAGAUGAACAUGCUUUCUCGUGUCUGUUGCGUUUGUUCUUGCUCAUUAUUUUUGUCAUCCUCGCGGAGAUACUCGUUAGCUUGUGCAAUAUGCAUCCUGAUUUAAACGAUAUGUGAAAAAAGAGACAAAAGAACGCACGAGAAAGACAAAGAAAGAAAGAAAGAAAGAAGGAAAGAAGAAAGAGAAGAAACGGAGACAAAGUGAAAGGAAAAAAAGUAAAAAAACACGAUACUGAAAGUCGCUUUCACAAACUACUUCGCAGCUUUGUAAUGUAUACGUUAUGAGUGCACAUAUGUUGUUAAUCGUACGAUACUGCCAGGACGGAUUAUCAUACGUGUGAAAUUACAAUAUAAUAAAUAUGUGUCCGCGUGCAUAUAGCGCUUCUGUGACGUUUCUGUGAAAAAACGUUUCUGUGUAUAUACACGCGGAUACAUAUCGCAUAUCGGUAUAAAUAUAUAUAUCAAUAUAUAUAUGUAAUGUAUAUAUAUAUAUAUUCACAGGUGAAUCUCAUAUGAAGGCAAGCCAAGGCCACGACAUGAGACGUGCAAAUUAAAAAAGCUUUCUCACCGCGAAGUAGAGACGAAUGAUAAGAUAGGAGGACUUCGUUUCGGCUCGAGGGAAACAACAAAAGAAAAAUUGGUUGUGUAAGAGAAACUUAGGAAUGGCUGAGCAUGGUUGUAUCUCUCCUGCUGGACGAUAGAGAAAAGGCAAGUACAAUAAACAAAAAUAUAUAUGUAUAUAUAACAGGAGAGACAGUCUUUAAUCCCGAGCUGGCUGAACGACGAGCAAUUAGUUGUAGGUAAAUAAAUAUUCUGGACCACCCACCUUGGUUCUGCUGGGAUCAUCGAGAACCC